UACGGAGGGUGCAAGCGUUAAUCGGAAUUACUGGGCGUAAAGCGCACGCAGGUGGCUGAGUCAGUCGAUUGUGAAAGCCCUGGGCUUAACCUGGGAAUUACAGUCGAUACUACUCAGCUAGAGUAUGGGAGAGGGUAGUGGAAUUCCCGGUGUAGCGGUGAAAUGCGUAGAUAUCGGGAGGAACAUCAGUGGCGAAGGCGGCUACCUGGCCCAAUACUGACACUCAGGUGCGACAGCGUGGGGAGCAAACAGG
rnacentral:rRNA from 1 species